rnacentral:lncRNA from 1 species
AAACACUUUUUUCAUGCAUGUCUUCCUCACACCGCAAAUGUUAUAGUUAAACAUAUUCAAUGAUUCAAAUACACAUUAGUGCACUUUAUUUGAAAGAGUCAAGUAACGAUCAGAAUAAUGAAUAUAUAUACAUAGAUCUACCUAAGAAAGUAACAGUUUGUACCCGAUAAAUAAUAAAGAAAAUAAAGAAUAUGGCAGCUAUAAAUUUUGAAGACUUUUUUUUUGCCAUCACAUGGCUGGGCGCCUGGGCCGAAGUGUUUUCUAUUCCUCAUUCCUUGUUAUCCUUGCUUACUAAUUCCCGAGACAGUUCCUUAACACCCAGGAACUUCAAAGAGAUAUAUAAAUUGAAAGGGUUGAAUAUAAGAAACACAAGGUGGGACUAUUUAAUAAUUUGAGGCCAGAUAAUCAAUUAAGGGACGCGUCUAGGGAGCGGCCGGCUGCUCCCUAGCGUUCCCCAGCGGCCGCUAUAAAAGGAAAGAUUAUGUCCCCCAUCCCAGAAAAGGAAAACCCUCCCCCGAUAGCAACAAAGACGUGUGAACCCAACAAAGCACGCAUUGGACGUGGUCCCCAGGCCAUCACGUGCCCUUCCCUCCCCUUCUGAAGCUCUCACACCUCUCUGGCCACCAACUUCUUUUUCCUCACGCCCCUACUUGACCCCACCUUGGGUUCCCAGGUCUGGAUCUCCAAUGCCAGAGCUGCCAUGGCAGACGAAUCAAAGUUAAAUAACAGCUGAUCUGGAACAAUUUGGUGCAAAACAAGAGGAGAGAGGGUGAUAGAUCAGAACGUACCAGGCAGUAGGCACUAGCAAGGGUGAAAAAAAAGAGGUGAUCCUUUUCUCCUCUUGUUCAGGUCCUUCCUCCUUGUCUUUCCCUUUCUCCCUCACAAAAUUUCUCUUUGCAAAAAUAGCUUCUCCAUAGUUGUUGAAGAUAACAUAAACAGAGAUCAAAACAGGGAGAUCUGGUACUUGUGCUUUUUUAUAUGAUUUUCAUGCAACUACAUCAUGGGACAAGCCAAUUUUUACAGCAUGUGUGCAACAAAAUGCGAAAAUGUGCAAACAUAUAGGAGAGAGCACAUAGAGUCGUAUUCACACAUAAUGCAGAAGAAUAGAUGUCCAUGUAGCAAAAAAAGUGUUGUAGCUACUAUGAAUAACUACCUACUAGACAAGAAUCUGGUUUGCAAGUGUUUUUUUUUCUUUGAUCUUUCCACACAGUAGUAUAUGUAACUUCAUAGCUGAGAAUUGUGUGCACAAAUCUACAACAGCUCCUCCAUCCCUAUAACCAGUAAAACACACAUUAUGCAAAAAUGAAGCCUUAGAAAAAUGAACUAGUUCUGGGUUGCAUCUGUGCAACUUAACCAACACGAGUGUGCAACUAACAACACUGCCAUAUCCAUCUACUUGUGGGGUUGAAUUUCAGUAGUUGGCAUCUUCAACUCAUAAAAAGUUGAAGAUGCCAACUCAUAUAAUUUCAGAUUCAUUUUGGUUUGGCUAAAAUUUUGUAUGCAAAAUAAAAAAAAACUUAUACUGGCUUGUGCAACUACAUCAUCUAUUUUGUGCGACUGCAAGUACUCCUACAUGCAAUUCAUAUUGCAUUUUUGUUCGACUAUGUAAUGAAUUUUGAACUGAUGAACAUGAUGAAUUUAGCACGUCCGAGCACAAGAAAUUGACAAAAUAGUGAAUUCUAAAAGAUUACAAUCUUCCAAAUAAGUAGUGCAACUACAUUCAAGUGCAUCCACAAACCUAACAAAUCAGUUACAUGUGAAUACAUGAGGAUGCUAACUACUAAAUGAUUCUUGUGCAAGUAAAGAAGUUGAAGAUGUCUCCCUCAAAAAAAAAAGUUGAAGAUGCCAACUCAUGUGGCAUUGUUGUGCAACUAUUAAGAAAAGUUGGGGAUGCCAACUCCUGAUGGUUCAUGUGUAACUAAAAUAGUUGAGGAUGCCAACUCGGUGAUAUUAUUGUUGGACUAUUUAAAAAGCUGAGACUGCCAACUCCCAAAUGGUUCUGGUGCAACUACGAAAGUUGAGGAUUCUAACUCGUAUGAUACUGUUGUGCAACAAUUCGAAAAGUUGAGGAUACCAAUUCUUAAUUAAUUCUUGUGCAACUAUAAAAGUUCGGGAUGCCAACAUCUAGCUGGUUCUUGUGGAACUGCGUAAAAAAUCACAUCCCAGGCUUCUUUGUGUAGAAAAAAAGAAAAGAACAAUGCAUAAUGCCAUUUCAUGUUACCUCAACAGCUGCUGCAAAUGAUGUGCCAUCUCCAUAUACAACUCCCACCUGCGUGGUCGCCUUCCAUUUCCACCGUUUCACAAUGCGAAAUUGGCCACCAAC